UACGUAGGGUGCGAGCGUUAAUCGGAAUUACUGGGCGUAAAGCGUGCGCAGGCGGUCUGUUAAGACCGAUGUGAAAUCCCCGGGCUUAACCUGGGAACUGCAUUGGUGACUGGCAGGCUUUGAGUGUGGCAGAGGGAGGUAGAAUUCCACGUGUAGCAGUGAAAUGCGUAGAGAUGUGGAGGAAUACCGAUGGCGAAGGCAGCCUCCUGGGCCAACACUGACGCUCAUGCACGAAAGCGUGGGGAGCGAACAGG
rnacentral:rRNA from 1 species